GUCGGUCUUGUGAAAAAAUUACAGCAUCCAGCUGGUCGAAGUACUACUCAAUAUGGUGCAUGCUAAUUGGUACCUGCGGUGUUGGUUACGCGAUGUAUUUUAUAAUUGAUAUGUCCAAUUAUAUGAAAAUGUUAAUGAGCUUAGCCAGUUAUACAAAUACUUCAAUUAAUUCCCCAGAAUAUGAUAAAGUGCUGUUGUUUGCGUGGGUUGAUGUCUCUUUUAUAAUGUUUUUUUCCAUACUGUAUAUUUUGGCAGGGAUUUCUAUGCUGCUGGGAAUGAGAAUAAACUCAAAGAUGCUUUUUAUAUAUGGAAAAGUCCUAAGCUAUUUCUUUCCAAUAUAUACCUGGCAUUUUAUCUUAACGACAGUUGUACAUUGUGUCUGCGCAGUGAAAUUAUGCAGAUAUGUAAGAGAAACCUGGCCCAAAAUGUAAUUGGAAGAGAAUUGACCAAAUUGACAGUGUUUUAUGAAGCCUACAUAUAAUUUAAGAUAAAUUGUGUACAAAAUCAAAAGGAAAAAAUGGAUUACGGCAGUAAAAGCUGUGAUCUGAGAAUUUGAAUACUUUGUACUUUCAAACUCUAAAAUGCUAUAAUAAAUUAAUUUUCAAUAUAUUGUGUACAUUUUUGCAAUGUGAAAGUCGCGUUAUGAACAACCAGUUAUAUUCACUUUGGAUAGUAUUCGGUUUCUCUGUCAUUUUUUCAGGUUUUCCGAAUUCUAGUUCUAUUUAA